GAUGAGCUGUCUGCUGCAGGGUCCUAAUCUAAUAUAAUUAUGGCUUCUCACCAAAUCAUCCCAGUGGAAUCAUCCGCAGUCUUUGGUUUCUCUGCGUAACAGCCAGUGAGAUACGGUAAUGGCCUACAAUUUUUAUGAGGUCCUCGGAAUUGGCAAGCGCGGAAGCCGAGACAAGCCAACAGGAAAGACCGGCAGUGCAAACAUGUUCAUGUGGUGUAGAGGAAAGGAGAAAAAUAUCUGUAAACAUGCGUACAACACACACGCAUACACAUACACAGCCCUGUUCUUCAAACUGCUCUGAAGGUCAGCAGCGACGCUCUGAUUCUCCGUGUGACUGUGAUUGCAUCCUCUGGAAAUUCAUUAAUGCAAAUACACAGAACUCACAAAUAAGCUGAUUGACAUGCAAACAAGUCUAUUCAAUUAGCAUGAAAUCUGAAUAAAAGCACUUUGAAAGUGCGGUAUUGGGGCUGAUGAGAGAUGCAGGUCUGUAAUUGAGCAUGACCUAUGAGGAAGUGCUGAAGAGGGUCUUGCCCUAAUGCUGCUGGAGGGCUUUUGUUUUUGUUUUUUUCUGGCAUCUGGGCAGGAGCAAUUAGAGCUUUGCCAUUUAAAUAAAUCAAUCUAAAGAGAGCAACAGAUCAACCUCCGUUUAAUGCCUAAUUACUUAAGCCCCUCCCCCAGAAUACAGGCCCCAGUUAACUAUGCAAAUGAACCGGCUCCUAUGACACG